rnacentral:rRNA from 1 species
GAAACCGAGAGGUGAGGUAUAUGGGCUGACGCCUGCCCGGUGCUGGAAGGUUAAGGGGAGAGGUUAGCGCAAGCGAAGCUUUGAACUUAAGCCCCAGUAAACGGCGGCCGUAACUAUAACGGUCCUAAGGUAGCGAAAUUCCUUGUCGGGUAAGUUCCGACCCGCACGAAAGGCGUAAUGAUUUGGGCACUGUCUCAACAAUGCACCCGGUGAAAUUGAAAUACCAGUGAAGAUGCUGGUUACCUGCGCCAGGACGGAAAGACCCCAUGGAGCUUUACUCUAGCUUGAUACUGGGAUUCGAUAUUGCAUGUACAGGAUAGGUGGGAGACUAGGAAGUGGUGACGCCAGUUGCCAUGGAGUCAAUGUUGGGAUACCACCCUUGCAGUAUUGGGUUUCUAACCAGCAGCCGUGAUCCGGCUGGGGGACAAUGUCAGGUGGGGAGUUUGACUGGGGCGGUCGCCUCCGAAAGGGUAUCGGAGGCGCUCAAAGGUUCCCUCAGAAUGGUUGGAAACCAUUCGAAGAGUGCAAAGGCAGAAGGGAGCUUGACUGCGACACCGACGGGUGGAGCAGGUACGAAAGUAGGACUUAGUGAUCCGGUGGUAUAAAGUGGGAUUGCCAUCGCUCAACGGAUAAAAGCUACCCUGGGGAUAACAGGCUUAUCACUCCCAAGAGUUCACAUCGACGGAGUGGUUUGGCACCUCGAUGUCGGCUCAUCGCAUCCUGGGGCUGUAGUCGGUCCCAAGGGUUGGGCUGUUCGCCCAUUAAAGCGGUACGCGAGCUGGGUUCAGAACGUCGUGAGACAGUUCGGUCCCUAUCCGGCGUGGGCGUAGGAUAUUUGAGAGGAGCUGCCCUUAGUACGAGAGGACCGGGGUGGACUGGCCGCUGGUGUAUCUGUUGUAUUACCAAGUGCAUAGCAGAGUAGCCAAGCCGGGAAGGGAUAAACGCUGAAGGCAUCUAAGCGUGAAGCCCCCCUCAAGAUGAGAUAUCCCAUAACGUCAAGUUAGUAAGACCCCUUGAAGACGACGAGGUAGAUAGGGCAGAGGUGGAAGUGUGGCAACACAUGGAGCUGACUGUUACUAAUAGGUCGAGGGCAUAACCAA